AACGAACGCUGGCGGCAGGCUUAACACAUGCAAGUCUAGCGCCCCGCAAGGGGAACGGCAGACGGGUGAGUAACGCGUGGGAAUCUACCCAUCCCUACGGCAUAACGCAUGGAAACGUGUGCUUAUACCGCAUAUGUCCUUCGGGAGAAAGAUUUAUCGGAGAUGGAUGGGCCCGCGUUGGAUUAGCUAGUUGGUGGGAUAAAGGCCGACCAAGGCGACGACCCAUAGCUGGUCUGAGAGGAUGAUCAGCCACACUGGGACUGAGACACGGCCCAGACGCGUACGGGAGGCAGCAGUGGGGAUUAUUGGACAAUGGGCGCAAGCCUGAUCCAGCCAUGCCGCGUGAGUGAUGAAGGCCCUAGGGUUGUAAAGCUCUUUCACCGGUGAAGAUAAUGACGGUAACCGGAGAAGAAGCCCCGGCUAACUUCGUGCCAGCAGCCGCCGUAAUAC
rnacentral:rRNA from 1 species